GAUGAACGCUGGCGGCGUGCUUAACACAUGCAAGUCGAACGAUGAAGCCCAGCUUGCUGGGUGGAUUAGUGGCGAACGGGUGAGUAACACGUGAGUAACCUGCCCUUAACUCUGGGAUAAGCCUGGGAAACUGGGUCUAAUACCGGAUAGGAGCGUCCACCGCAUGGUGGGUGUUGGAAAGAUUUAUCGGUUUUGGAUGGACUCGCGGCCUAUCAGCUUGUUGGUGAGGUAAUGGCUCACCAAGGCGACGACGGGUAGCCGGCCUGAGAGGGUGACCGGCCACACUGGGACUGAGACACGGCCCAGACUCCUACGGGAGGAAGCAGUGGGGAAUAUUGCACAAUGGGCGCAAGCCUGAUGCAGCGACGCCGCGUGAGGGAUGACGGCCUUCGGGUUGUAAACCUCUUUCAGUAGGGAAGAAGCGAAAGUGACGGUACCUGCAGAAGAAGCACCGGCUAACUACG
rnacentral:rRNA from 1 species